rnacentral:rRNA from 1 species
AACGUAGGAGACGGACGUUAUCCGGAGUUACUGGGCGUAAAGGGCGUGUAGGCGGUUUGUUAAGUCUGGCGUGAAAGCUCUCGGCUAAACCGGGAGAGGUCGUUGGAUACUGGCGAACUAGAGGAUGGUAGAGGCGUGUGGAAUUCCGGGUGUAGUGGUGAAAUGCGUAGAGAUCCGGAGGAACACCAGUGGCGAAGGCGACACGCUGGGCCAUACCUGACGCUAAAGCGCGACAGCAUGGGGAGCAAACGGG